rnacentral:snRNA from 1 species
GUGCUUGCUUCGGCAGCACAUAUACUAAAAUUGGAACGAUGCAGAGAAGAUCAGCAUGGCCCCUUGCGCAAGGAUGACACGCAAAUUCGUGAAGCAUUCCAUAUUUUU